UGGGCAUCCCGUCCGCUCUGCCAUACAUAAGCCUCAGAUCGGCAGAUUAGUAGUUGGGUGGGUGACCACCAGCGAAUACCUGCUGUUGUAUGUU
rnacentral:rRNA from 1 species